GGCAGACGUGCCCCAACCAGAUGUACCAGGCCUCUUCCAGAGAAGUCAUUUGUUGUGGGCUGAUUUCUACUUCCUGGUGCAAUUUACUUGGGAAAAGGGGCCUUUCAUCGUUGAUAUUCUGUGAACUGGCCAGAACCAGAUAGACAAUAAUGAACUUUACAAACCUGAUUUUGCAGAAUCUGAAAAACACCCCUUGACUGUCGGUCCUCAGCACUUCCUUUCUGCUCACCCAGAGUCCUUCUAUCUUGUACUGAUUAGCACAGGCAUCGCAUGAGCCGCUUCUUAGGGCGAGGGACUAAAUCCAACAAGAGGUACCAUGUUGUUUUCAUUCCCCAAGGAUCUCACCGGUCUCCCUUGCUGAGCUGUGAGCUCCCGGCGCUCAGAUGGAAUCUUCCUCUUCUUGGCAUGGACUUGAGCAACCCGCCCUGCUCCUGUCCUGCAGCCAGGAGCUGGGCGGGUUGCAGAAGACAAGGCACGUGCAGAAGACGAGGCUGAGAGGGACUCCGUAUUGUCCAGGCACGUGUGGGAUGCAGCACGCAGAUCAACUUCGGAACCCAGAAAAUACCCUCGACCACGUCCGAGUGAGGCUCAUUUCCCCUGAGGACGGCACUAAACGCAACCAAGUUCUUCAAUAUACUGUAUUAAGAACCCUCCGGGGACAAAAAAAUGCACUUUCAAGUGGUGUUUAGAAACUUGCCACCCCUUGCCUUUCUUCAUUUCUGAAUCUCUUGGAUGCUUCAUAAAACAAAGGAGAAAAGUGCCGCUUCUGUACUAAAUACGUACACAGGAUUCCUCUGUCUUACAGAGAAAACAGUACAGACCCAGUUGUUUCCCAACAGUCAUAGGACUCAUACCCAAUGCCGACGGACUACCAAGCGUAUUUGCACAAACCCUUAUCACACACAGCACAUGGAGUCUCCAGGCGUGGCCAUGAAAGAAAACGGCAUGUUCUCCUUGUCAAAAUGCCCUCUCCUUGCCAGCCCCCUGCACCAAACUGAACAACCACAGGACCUGAAUUUAACAGGUGAUGUUUCCCUUUGUUCUUCUGGAUGUUAUGUAUACUCAGGAGUAGCUCUCUCUGGGUUGUUCAAACACGUCAUUUAUUUAUUUAGUAUUUACUGAGUAUCUACUGUGUACCCCACAUAGGCAUGGAUUAAAGAGAUUCUUGCUUAGCUUCUGUAUUAGGAUUUCUCAGCCUUGGUACUGUUGCCAUUUGGAGCCAGAUAAUUCUUUGUCAUGAGGCUGUUCCAUGCCUGGUAGGAUGUUUAGCAUCCCUGGCCUUGACACACGAGAUAACAGCAGCACCUCC